AGGCUUGUAUGAAUGGUUGGACAAAAAAUAAGCUGUCUCAAUUGUAAGAAUUGAAUUUAACUUUUAAGUGAAAAGGCUUAAAUAAUCUAGGGGGACGAUAAGACCCUAUAAAGCUUUACAAUUAUCUAGUUAAGUUAUAAAUUGUUAGUAUAAACUUAGGUUAAUUAGUGUUUGUUUCGUUGGGGCGACGAGAAUAUAAUUUUGUAACUGUUCUUUUAUGGUUUGUUACA
rnacentral:rRNA from 1 species